rnacentral:rRNA from 1 species
CCAAGGAGUCUAACAUGUGCGCGAGUCACUCGGUCUUGAAUAGGCCAGAGAGGCGCAAUGAAAGUAAAGUUGAUUGAGUUACGAUCCUCAUGCAGUUAUCGCUUGUCGGUAACGGUGGGGCGCAGUAACAGCCCGCUAAUUUCGCUUAUUGACGAUCUGGCGGAGUUGUAGCGUACACGUUGGUACCCGAAAGAUGGUGAACUAUGCCUGGGCAAGACGAAGCCAGAGGAAACUCUGGUGGAGGUCUGUAGCGGUUCUGACGUGCAAAUCGAUCGUCAGACCUGGGUAUAGGGGCGAAAGACUAAUCGAACCAUC